AGUUUGAUCAUGGCUCAGGACGAACGCUGGCGGCGUGCUUAACACAUGCAAGUCGAACGGAAAGGCCCCUGCUUGCAGGGGUACUCGAGUGGCGAACGGGUGAGUAACACGUGGGUGAUCUGCCCUUCACUUCGGGAUAAGCCUGGGAAACUGGGUCUAAUACCGGAUAGGACCAAUCUUUAGUGUGGUUGGUGGAAAGUUUUUUCGGUGGAGGAUGAGCCCGCGGCCUAUCAGCUUGUUGGUGGGGUAAUGGCCUACCAAGGCGACGACGGGUAGCCGGCCUGAGAGGGUGGACGGCCACAUUGGGACUGAGACACGGCCCAGACUCCUACGGGAGGCAGCAGUGGGGAAUAUUGCACAAUGGGCGGAAGCCUGAUGCAGCGACGCCGCGUGAGGGAUGACGGCCUUCGGGUUGUAAACCUCUUUCGCUAGGGAAGAAGCCUUCGGGUGACGGUACCUGGAUAAGAAGCAC
rnacentral:rRNA from 1 species